UAGAUUGCCUACUUACAAGCAGAUGAGAAUGAUGAUGGGCUGCAGUUUGGCUCCACUGGUCUGGUGUAGAACAGGAUCUCUGGAGGCUGUUUGCAACUGUGGUCACAAAAUUCAAUGUUCUGGGAGAAUUGGAAGCAGCUCAAUUUUUUUUGGGCCCCUUACACAGCUCAAGGUCUGGGCCCCAGGGCCUGACGGUGAGUAUGCCCAUAAGGUCCACUCAUAAGUUCCCC